rnacentral:lncRNA from 1 species
CUACAUAAGAGCAAAUUAUUCGGGUAAAAAUCGAAAUUAAAAUCUACAUUCGAAAUGAUUAUAAAAGGGAACAUAGAAACAAAUAACUAAGACGGUGUGUAAUCGGUAAUAGGAUUGAGUUAUUUAAUGCUCCACGUUUCUCUGUUCUUCUGUUCUUUUAGUAAGGAUAUGCAAACACACACACGAGUAAAAACUUCUUGGAUCGCCCUGUAAAAUGAUGUGACGCUCUCCGUUAGAUGGGCAGGGGGAAACGACACUUCAUACAGACUUGCCACUACGAAUCACAAGCAGUCACAAUUUCAACACAUUCCGGCUCAAAUUUGAACCACUGAAUAAAAAAUGGCCAUUCUUAACGGACAGCGUACAUCUUUUGACGGGGUAAGUUGAAGACAUAAGCAAUAGUGGCUGAUGUAGAGUUAACAUUAUUUUUCUAUUUCCAUUUACAGCUUCUCUUUCUCACACAACUUUGUCUUAUUGAAAGACUUUCACACGAUUUAAAUAUUGU